rnacentral:rRNA from 1 species
AACGUAGGAGACAAGCGUUAUCCGGAGUUACUGGGCGUAAAGGGCGUGUAGGCGGCUGUUUAAGUGGGUUGUGAAAGCGUCUGGCUUAACCGGGCGAGGCCGACCCAGACUGGACAGCUGGAGGGCGGUAGAGGAGUGUGGAAUUCCGGGUGUAGUGGUGAAAUGCGUAGAGAUCCGGAGGAACACCAGAGGCGAAGGCGACACUCUAGGCCGCACCUGACGCUGAGACGCGACAGCACGGGGAGCAAACGGG